GGAUAACUCCGGGAAACCGGGGCUAAUACCGGAUGGUUGUUUGAACCGCAUGGUUCAGACAUAAAAGGUGGCUUCGGCUAUCACUUACAGAUGGACCCGCGGCGCAUUAGCUAGUUGGUGAGGUAACGGCUCACCAAGGCGACGAUGCGUAGCCGACCUGAGAGGGUGAUCGGCCACACUGGGACUGAGACACGGCCCAGACUCCUACGGGAGGCAGCAGUAGGGAAUCUUCCGCAAUGGACGAAAGUCUGACGGAGCAACGCCGCGUGAGUGAUGAAGGUUUUCGGAUCGUAAAGCUCUGUUGUUAGGGAAGAACAAGUGCCGUUCAAAUAGGGCGGCACCUUGACGGUACCUAACCAGAAAGCCACGGCUAACUACGUGCCAGCAGCCGCGGUAAUACGUAGGUGGCAAGCGUUGUCCGGAAUUAUUGGGCGUAAAGGGCUCGCAGGCGGUUUCUUAAGUCUGAUGUGAAAGCCCCCGGCUCAACCGGGGAGGGUCAUUGGAAACUGGGGAACUUGAGUGCAGAAGAGGAGAGUGGAAUUCCACGUGUAGCGGUGAAAUGCGUAGAGAUGUGGAGGAACACCAGUGGCGAAGGCGACUCUCUGGUCUGUAACUGACGCUGAGGAGCGAAAGCGUGGGGAGCGAACAGGAUUAGAUACCCUGGUAGUCCACGCCGUAAACGAUGAGUGCUAAGUGUUAGGGGGUUUCCGCCCCUUAGUGCUGCAGCUAACGCAUUAAGCACUCCGCCUGGGGAGUACGGUCGCAAGACUGAAACUCAAAGGAAUUGACGGGGGCCCGCACAAGCGGUGGAGCAUGUGGUUUAAUUCGAAGCAACGCGAAGAACCUUACCAGGUCUUGACAUCCUCUGACAAUCCUAGAGAUAGGACGUCCCCUUCGGGGGCAGAGUGACAGGUGGUGCAUGGUUGUCGUCAGCUCGUGUCGUGAGAUGUUGGGUUAAGUCCCGCAACGAGCGCAACCCUUGAUCUUAGUUGCCAGCAUUCAGUUGGGCACUCUAAGGUGACUGCCGGUGACAAACCGGAGGAAGGUGGGGAUGACGUCAAAUCAUCAUGCCCCUUAUGACCUGGGCUACACACGUGCUACAAUGGACAGAACAAAGGGCAGCGAAACCGCGAGGUUAAGCCAAUCCCACAAAUCUGUUCUCAGUUCG
rnacentral:rRNA from 1 species